GUGCCAGCCGCCGCGGUAAGACGAACCGAGCGAACGUUGUUCGGAAUCACUGGGCUUAAAGGGCGCGUAGGCGGAUGUCCAAGUCCGGGGUGAAAUCCCACAGCUCAACUGUGGAACUGCCUUGGAUACUGGGCGUCUCGAGGAUGGUAGGGGUGUGCGGAACUAUCGGUGGAGCGGUGAAAUGCGUUGAUAUCGAUAGGAACUCCGGUGGCGAAGGCGGCACACUGGACCAUUUCUGACGCUGAGGCGCGAAAGCCAGGGGAGCAAACGGGAUUAGAUACCCUCGUAGUCC
rnacentral:rRNA from 1 species